CGUAGGACAUUAAUCGUUGAACAAACGAACAUUGGUAGCGGCUUCGCCACCGGGGUGUCCUGAUCCAACAUCGAGGUCGUAAGCCCCACUUGUCGAUAUGGACUCUAAAAGGGGAUGGCGCUGUUAUCCCUGGGGUAACUUGGUUCGAUUAUCAGCUAUGCUGGGUCAAUCAGGGGUUGUUUGGCAUGUGUGCCUUGGUUCUGCGGUUAGCCCUGGUGCGUGGAGGCUCUUUUUUCCUCCGCAGUCGCCCCAACUUAAGGCCAGGGACUAUUCUACUGGGUGUGAAGGAUUAAUACUUGUGUAGUUAGUGGUUGACCUAAAGUUCCACAGGGUCUUCUCGUCUUAUGGGAUUAUUUCAGCUUUUGUACUGAAAGAUCAGUUUCAUUGACCAGAUGUAGGAGACAGUCGGGCCCUCAUGUGGCCGUUCAUACGAGUCUUUAUUUGGAAGACAAGUGAUUACGCUACCUUUGCACGGUUAUGAUACCGCGGCCGUUAAAU
rnacentral:rRNA from 1 species